UGGGGAAUAUUGGACAAUGGGCGCAAGCCUGAUCCAGCCAUGCCGCGUGAGUGAUGAAGGCCUUAGGGUUGUAAUGCUCUUUUUGGCGGGGACGAUAAUGACGGUACCCGCAGAAUAAGCCCCGGCUAACUUCGUGCCAGCAGCCGCGGUAAUACGAAGGGGGCUAGCGUUGUUCGGAAUUACUGGGCGUAAAGCGCACGUAGGCGGAUCAGCAAGUCAGGGGUGAAAUCCCGGGGCUCAACCUCGGAACUGCCUCUGAUACUGCUGGUCUGGAGUCCGGAAGAGGUGGGUGGAAUUCCUAGUGUAGAGGUGAAAUUCGCAGAUAUUAGGAAGAACACCGGUGGCGAAGGCGGCCCACUGGUCCGGUACUGACGCUGAGGUGCGAAAAGCGUGGGGGGCAAACAGGAUUAGAUACCCAAGUAGUCCCUGAGCGGGCUGGCAAGGCGCAU
rnacentral:rRNA from 1 species